UGCCAAAUUCAUACAUCCAUUAUGCGAGCUCUGUGUACAGCUUUGUACUGCAUUCUAUGGAUUCUCUGUGUUGCAAAAACCUGUUCGACUUAUUCUUCUUAUGAGGACGACGAAAGAAAGAAUAUUAUGCUGAAAUAUCUGCCAAUAAAGGUCAG